rnacentral:rRNA from 1 species
AUUGAACGCUGGCGGCAGGCCUAACACAUGCAAGUCGAACGGUAACAGGGAUCAGCUUGCUGAUUCGCUGACGAGUGGCGGACGGGUGAGUAAUGUCUGGGAAACUGCCUGAUGGAGGGGGAUAACUACUGGAAACGGUAGCUAAUACCGCAUAACGUCGCAAGACCAAAGAGGGGGACCUUCGGGCCUCUUGCCAUCGGAUGUGCCCAGAUGGGAUUAGCUAGUAGGUGGGGUAACGGCUCACCUAGGCGACGAUCCCUAGCUGGUCUGAGAGGAUGACCAGCCACACUGGAACUGAGACACGGUCCAGACUCCUACGGGAGGCAGCAGUGGGGAAUAUUGCACAAUGGGCGCAAGCCUGAUGCAGCCAUGCCGCGUGUAUGAGGAAGGCCUUCGGGUUGUAAAGUACUUUCAGCGGGGAGGAAGGGAGUAAAGUUAAUACCUUUGCUCAUUGACGUUACCCGCAGAAGAAGCACCGGCUAACUCCGUG